UACGUAGGGUGCAAGCGUUGUCCGGAAUUAUUGGGCGUAAAGAGCUCGUAGGCGGUCUGUUGCGUCGGCUGUGAAAACCCGAGGCUCAACCUCGGGCCUGCAGCCGAUACGGGCAGACUAGAGUUCGGGCAGGGGAGACUGGAAUUCCUGGUGUAGCGGUGAAAUGCGCAGAUAGUCAGGAAGAACACCCGUGGCGAAAGCGGCUCUCUGGAAACGG
rnacentral:rRNA from 1 species